GCGGCAUGGAUUAGGCAUGCGAGUCGAGCGAGAAGGGUUUUGAAGCUUGCUUUGAAACCCGGAAAGCGGCGCAAGGGAGAGUAACGAGUAGUUAUCUACCCCAAGGCCCGGAAUAGCUGCGGGAAACUGCAGGUAAUGCCGGAUAAUAUCCCCGGAUCAAAGGUGUGAUUCCGCCUUGGGAGGAGACUGCUUUGUACUAGCUAGUUGGUAGGGUAAUGGCCUACCAAGGCUACGAUGCAUAGCGGGCGUGAGAGCGUGGCCCGUCUCACUGGGACUGAAACACUGCCCAGAAACCUACGGGUGGCUGCAGUCGAGAAUCUUCGGCAAUGGGCGAAAGCCUGACCGAGCGAUGCCGCGUGCGGGAUGAAGGCCCUCGGGUUGUAAACCGCUGUCGUAGAGGAGAAAGGUCUGAUGAAGAAUCAGAUUUGAUCUAUUCUAGGAGGAAGUCCGGGCUAAGUUCGUGCCAGCCGCCGCCGUAA
rnacentral:rRNA from 1 species